rnacentral:sRNA from 1 species
GACAGCCAGUAGAGGUGACUUCAUGUUUUCUGCGGAUCGUUUGGGUACAAGUAUGAAGGAGUGAAGUUUGAGAAGGGAAAUUGUGGGGUCAGCAUAAUGAGAAGCGGUGAGGCAAUGGAACAAGGUUUACGAGACUGCUGUCGAUCCAUACGAAUUGGAAAGAUCCUGAUUCAGAGUGAUGAGGAGACACAAAGAGCCAAAGUAUAUUAUGCCAAAUUCCCCCCAGACAUUUACCGGAGAAAAGUCCUUCUCAUGUAUCCAAUUCUCAGCACUGGAAAUACUGUAAUUGAAGCUGUAAAGGUUCUUAUAGAACAUGGAGUUCAACCCAGUGUUAUCAUCCUACUCAGUCUGUUCUCCACUCCUCAUGGUGCCAAAUCAAUCAUUCAGGAGUUUCCAGAGAUCACAAUUUUAACUACUGAAGUUCAUCCUGUUGCACCUACACAUUUUGGACAGAAAUACUUUGGAACAGACUAAGUUAUUUAAGUAAAAUAAUUAUCUUGUGUAAUAUUACAAUCAUGUUUUGAUUUUCUAUUUGUUUUACUGAUUCAAUUGAGGGUGGCAGAGAAAAAUGUGUUAAAAUGCUUUUUAGUUUUGGAAGUGGGUAUAUUUGAGGUUGUAUCUCAUGUAGUUAUUUGUUUACUGUUGGCACCGAAUUCAACAAUGAAGUAUAUGCAACUCUUACAAAACAUAAAUUUUAAUAAUAUUCUAAUGCAAAUUACUGAACCCUCAGUGCAUUAAAAUUAUUUCUAAUUUAUGAGCCUCUUAGUUUGGAGGUUGCUUGUAGCCACAAAUAAAACUCAAAUGAGAGUCAGUUCUUUGUCCCACUGUAGUUUGCAUUUUGUUUAGUUUGGUUUUAGCUCUAGUAAGGUUUCAUAUAUGUGGCU